rnacentral:rRNA from 1 species
AACGAACGCUGGCGGCAGGCUUAACACAUGCAAGUCGAACGCCCCGCAAGGGGAGUGGCAGACGGGUGAGUAACGCGUGGGAAUCUACCCAGAUCUUCGGAACAACUGAGGGAAACUUCAGCUAAUACCGGAUACGCCCUACGGGGGAAAGAUUUAUCGGUUCUGGAUGAGCCCGCGUUGGAUUAGCUAGUUGGUGAGGUAACGGCUCACCAAGGCGACGAUCAAUAGCUGGUCUGAGAGGAUGAUCAGCCACACUGGGACUGAGACACGGCCCAGACUCCUACGGGAGGCAGCAGUGGGGAAUAUUGGACAAUGGGCGAAAGCCUGAUCCAGCCAUGCCGCGUGAGUGAUGAAGGCCUUAGGGUUGUAAAGCUCUGUCAGUGGGGAAGAUAAUGACGGUACCCACAGAAGAAGCCCCGGCUAACUUCGUGCCAGCCGCCGCCGUAACAC